UGAGGAAUAUUGGUCAAUGGACGAAAGUCUGAACCAGCGACGCCGCGUGUGGGACGAAGGGGCUUUGCCCUGUAAACCACUGUCAGAUGGGAAAAAAAGCCAGCUCAGCUGGCUGGGAUUGUACCAUCAGAGGAAGGAUCGGCUAACUACGUGCCAGCAGCCGCGGUAAUACGUAGGAUCCAAGCGUUGUCCGGAAUUACUGGGUGUAAAGGGUGCGUAGGCGGAUUUGUACGUCAGAGGUUAAAUGUCACAGCUCAACUGUGAACCUGCCUUUGAUACGGCAAGUCUUGAGUGCGAGAGAGGUAGGUAGAAUUCCUGGUGUAGCGGUGAAAUGCGUAGAUAUCAGGAGGAAUACCAGUGGCGAAAGCGGCCUACUUGCUCGCAACUGACGCUGAGGCACGAAAGCGUGGGGAUCAAACAGG
rnacentral:rRNA from 1 species